rnacentral:rRNA from 1 species
GAUGAACGCUGGCGGCGUGCCUAAUACAUGCAAGUCGAGCGAACAGACGAGGAGCUUGCUCCUCUGACGUUAGCGGCGGACGGGUGAGUAACACGUGGAUAACCUACCUAUAAGACUGGGAUAACUUCGGGAAACCGGAGCUAAUACCGGAUAAUAUAUUGAACCGCAUGGUUCAAUAGUGAAAGACGGUUUUGCUGUCACUUAUAGAUGGAUCCGCGCCGCAUUAGCUAGUUGGUAAGGUAACGGCUUACCAAGGCAACGAUGCGUAGCCGACCUGAGAGGGUGAUCGGCCACACUGGAACUGAGACACGGUCCAGACUCCUACGAGAGGCAGCAGUAGGGAAUGUUCCGCAAUGGGCGAAAGCCUGACGGAGCAACGCCGCGUGAGUGAUGAAGGUCUUCGGAUCGUAAAACUCUGUUAUUAGGGAAGAACAAAUGUGUAAGUAACUAUGCACGUCUUGACGGUACCUAAUCAGAAAGCCACGGCUAACUACGUG